GCGGGCAGGGCAGGGCAGGGGAGGGAAGGGGAGGAGGAGGCCGAGCUGUUGAGUCAGCGCUGCAGAGCCGCCUGCGAGAGCAGAGAGAGGAGAGCCGGGCUGCCUGCACAGCGCGGACCUGCCGAGCCCGCGGGGAGAUGGUUUGAGUAAUAAUCAACGCCUGCCGCUAUGUGGCCAGGAAGAUGAGGAGCCUGUGGAGCCGGGAGCCCCGGGAGCCACCGCCCUGCCCGGCUCAGGCAGCGCCUCAGGUCCACCCCCAGAAUGUAAAACCAGAGCUACCAGCACCCCCUGAAGCGCCAGCCUCACUCUCCUGCAACGCCAAACCCAUCCAGAGCAGGUCCUGACGAUAAAAGCCCUCGUGGUCCUCCCAUGAAGGCCACGAGAUUUCUUCCCCCUGAUUUGAUACAAUCCUGUAUCCCAGAGAUUGGAAAAUAUCAGUAAAUCCCUGCAGUAUCUGCUCUGGCACAGAAGCACAUUGAUAGAAAAUGUCCUGAUCAGUGUCUCAUGACCAGAAUUUUCUAGUUGGCUGCAAAAAAAAGGAGAUUGCCAAUGUGUAUCAGAUGCUCCUGGCCCCCGUGGGCCAUGGAAUACCAGGGGAAGAGCAGGAGCCCUGGCAUCUUAGCAGGGAAUUAGAUCUUUACACUGUGAAACCAAAUUAUGCUCCCAGUGCUAUUGGUACAAAUCCAGACAAUUUCCACGAGGGCAAAAUCAGUUCCUGAGCUGGAGUUUUGGAGCUCAGGUGUGUGAGAAUCCCCUUCCCCAUGCCCAGCCAGCACCCAGGUGCUGAGCAGCACCCCCAGAGCAGAGGCUGCAGGGACCACAGCAGGAUUUGCCCCCAAUCCCUCCUGUCACAGAGCAAUGACAGCAGAACCCCAAACCCCACAAGCGUGGGGGGAGUUCUGCCUGACCCCCUUCUGUGACAGCUCAACCAGAAAUAAAGGUGGAUGGAAAUCA